AAAAGAACAGUGGAGGAAGUGUGUACUGGAUAACUGAUUCUGGAGGAAUUGAUAAUUCAUGAGUCUGAUGAUGUUCAAUCAAGUUGAAGUCUCCGUCGACUUCAGUUGUCACUAGGAUAGUCAAUGAACACUCUGCACUCCAUGAACUUUUAUUUUCCAAUUCAACUGUACUGUGAAGAUAAGCUCUCUUAAACAUGUCGUGGAAGGAUGAAACCAAAUGAACAUCAGCUAUCUUCACAGGCCCACUUGUGUAAAGUGACACUUCAUCCCAGAUCCCAGUGUUCCUAUCCCUUAUUGGUGCCAUCCAGUCCCAACCUUCAACAUAUUGAGCAG
rnacentral:misc_RNA from 1 species